UACGGAAGGCAGCAGUGGGGAAUAUUGCACAAUGGGCGAAAGCCUGAUGCAGCUAUGCCGCGUGUAUGAAGAAGGCCUUAGGGUUGUAAAGUACUUUCAUCGGGGAGGAAAAAACAAAACUAAUAAUUUUAUUUCUUGACGUUACCCGAAAAAGAAGCACCGGCUAACUCCGUGCCAGCAGCCGCGGUAAUACGGAGGGUGCUAGCGUUAAUCAGAAUUACUGGGCGUAAAGAGCACGUAGGUGGUUUUUUUAAAGUCAGAUGUGAAAUCCCUGGGCUUAACCUGGAACUGCAUUUUGAAACUGAAAUACUAGAGUAUCGUAGAGGGAGGUAGAAUUCUAGGUGUAGCGGUGAAAUGCGUAGAUAUCUGGAGGAAUACCUGUGGCGAAAGCGGCCUCCUAAACGAAUACUAACACUGAGGGUGCGAAAGCGUGGGGAGCAAACAGGGAUUAGAUACCCGU
rnacentral:rRNA from 1 species